rnacentral:ncRNA from 2 species
AAGCAUGGGCCCAGUGAUGGUUCCCGCACUGCUAAGAACGCAAGCCGGGAUGAAAAGGGAACACGGUGCGGCGUAGCCAAAAGGCACCAAAUCCGUGACUGCCCCCGCAACUGUGAGCGGAGAGCUCCUCGUGAGAUCCACUGACCCGAACCGGGUCGGGAAGGGACGAGGCGCUGUGACCCGCGAGUCAGGAGACCUGCCAUCUGACGAUAGAACUC